AGGACGGUAUAAGUAGAGCCAGGUGAG
rnacentral:piRNA from 1 species